AUUGAACGCUGGCGGCAUGCUUUACACAUGCAAGUCGAACGGCAGCGCGGGCUUCGGCCUGGCGGCGAGUGGCGAACGGGUGAGUAAUACAUCGGAACGUGCCCAGUAGUGGGGGAUAGCUCGGCGAAAGCCGGAUUAAUACCGCAUACGACCGGAGGGGGAAAGCGGGGGAUCUUCGGACCUCGCGCUAUUGGAGCGGCCGAUGGCAGAUUAGCUAGUUGGUGGGGUAAAGGCCUACCAAGGCGACGAUCUGUAGCUGGUCUGAGAGGACGACCAGCCACACUGGGACUGAGACACGGCCCAGACUCCUACGGGAGGCAGCAGUGGGGAAUUUUGGACAAUGGGCGAAAGCCUGAUCCAGCAAUGCCGCGUGUGUGAUGAAGGCCUUCGGGUUGUAAAGCACUUUUGGCGGGAACGAAAAGGACUGUGCCAAUACCACGGUUCGAUGACGGUACCCGCAGAAUAAGCACCGGCUAACUACGUG
rnacentral:rRNA from 1 species